rnacentral:lncRNA from 1 species
AUAACAGUCCCUUGUAGUCCCAAUGAGUGCCAGAGCAGAGGAGAUGCCAAUGCACCACAGCAAACAUGUAAGGCAAAUAACAAAAAUCCUACUCACCAUAUUUUAUCACUGAGCAGAAAUCCUCUCUCCUAGCCUUGCUACUGAGGCUGGUCUUUAUCCAGAGGCUCCUGUGAUGCUUUUCAGAUUCGGAGGGGCUGGACCACUGCUGCUCUCCACUGUUAUUCUCCACCCCCUGUCUUUCCCUCCUCCUCCUUCCUUCAUCUCCACCCCCUCAUUCCUCCUGCUUGUAGCUUUUUCAUACCCUACAGAGAUUCUAGGCUUCCACAUGUAGCUUGAUUUAGGAAAGAUGCUUAUUUCAGCCAUCUGCUUGGUAUCAUGGAAAUGCCUCCAUUUCUAAAGGGAAGAAAGCCCAGAAGGUUUUCCUAAGGGAAAAAAUACAGGACUAAACUUUCAGAGAAUGUAAACCGACACUGUACUCUCUUAACAUUUAAAGAGUUGCGUUAACCAUCCUCAGCGUUGGAUCUGGUUAGGGAAUACUGACAGAGAACCCAACUGAUUAUUCUGCCUAUGACAAGUCAACAUAAGGCUGUUUGCCCAUUUGUGGAGGUCUCUUCCUUGGACUGGGGCAGAGAAUAGUUCCUGUAUUGGUUCCGCCGGGUCACUACUGUUUGUCCAAAUGUCAACUGCUUCUGCUGGUGCUGCCCACUGUAAAACUGCAGGAUGUUUGUUUGAUACAUGAGUGUCACCUUCCGGCCAGGACCUCCGUAUGGGUAAACUCCUUCUAUCACACACAGCUCUUUCCAGUGCUACUAGUUAUUCUCAAAGCGCAACUCACACACCGUAAUACUACCAGUAAGGAGUAUAAGGACAACUUUUAUCCAGGAUCAGAAGCGACUGUCCUUUUUGCGUACUGUAAUAUACAACUACUCCAAAGCUCUGUCAAUGAGCCUGGUGGAUGCGCAGCAGAGACUGUGUCUAAUCCUGCUGGUGUGCAGGUGCUUACAAAUCCUAACCACGUUUCCUUCCAUACCGCUUCCUGUCUUCUCUUCGUCUCCUGCUUGUACAGCACAGGCAAACGCUUCCCAGUCGUGAGAGAAGAACUGGGCACAUUGUGCAGCCUGGGCCCUGUGGCCACCGCCGCUGUCUCUGUCUGA